AGAACUUAGCAGAGAUGCUUUUGGUGCCCUUCGGGGAACUCUGAGACAGGUGCUGCAUGGCUGUCGUCAGCUCGUGUUGUGAAAUGUUGGGUUAAGUCCCGCAACGAGCGCAACCCUUAUCCUUUGUUGCCAGCGGUCCGGCCGGGAACUCAAAGGAGACUGCCAGUGAUAAACUGGAGGAAGGUGGGGAUGACGUCAAGUCAUCAUGGCCCUUACGAGUAGGGCUACACACGUGCUACAAUGGCGCAUACAAAGAGAAGCGACCUCGCGAGAGCAAGCGGACCUCAUAAAGUGCGUCGUAGUCCGGAUUGGAGUCUGCAACUCGACUCCAUGAAGUCGGAAUCGCUAGUAAUCGUGGAUCAGAAUGCCACGGUGAAUACGUUCCCGGGCCUUGUACACACCGCCCGUCACACCAUGGGAGUGGGUUGCAAAAGAAGUAGGUAGCUUAACCUUCGGGAGGGCGCUUACCACUUUGUGAUUCAUGACUGGGGUGAAGUCGUAACAAGGUAAGCGUAGUGCU
rnacentral:rRNA from 1 species